rnacentral:pre_miRNA from 1 species
CAUAUACUCCCUCCGUCCGAAAAUACUUGUCAUCAAAAUGGAUAAAAAGGGAUGUAUCUAAAACUAAAAUACGUCUAGAUACAUCUCCUUUUAUCCAUUUUGAUGACAAGUAUUUCCGGACAGAGGGAGUAUUUG